rnacentral:rRNA from 1 species
UUGAACUGAAGAGUUUGAUCAUGGCUCAGAUUGAACGCUGGCGGCAGGCCUAACACAUGCAAGUCGAGCGGAUGAAAGGAGCUUGCUCCUGGAUUCAGCGGCGGACGGGUGAGUAAUGCCUAGGAAUCUGCCUGGUAGUGGGGG